rnacentral:tRNA from 1 species
GAAAUAAUAAAAAUUGAGCUUCUAACUCAAAAUUAAAUGUAAAUUCAUUUUUAUUUCU